rnacentral:rRNA from 1 species
UACGUAGGGUGCGAGCGUUAAUCGGAAUUACUGGGCGUAAAGCGUGCGCAAGCGGUUUUGUAAGCCAGAUGUGAAAUCCCCGGGCUUAACCUGGGAAUGGCAUUUGGGACUGCAAGGCUCGAGUGCGGCAGAGGAGACUGGAAUUCCUGGUGUAGCAGUGAAAUGCGUAGAUAUCAGGAGGAACACCGAUGGCGAAGGCAGGUCUCUGGGCUGACACUGACGCUCAUGCACGAAAGCGUGGGGAGCAAACAGG